rnacentral:rRNA from 1 species
CUACGGGAGGCAGCAGUAGGGAAUCUUCCACAAUGGACGCAAUCUUGAUGGAGCAACGCCGCGUGAGUGAAGAAGGUUUUCGGAUCGUAAAGCUCUGUUGUUGGUGAAGAAGGAUAGAGGCAGUAACUGGUCUUUAUUUGACGGUAAUCAACCAGAAAGUCACGGCUAACUACGUGCCAGCAGCCGCGGUAAUACGUAGGUGGCAAGCGUUGUCCGGAUUUAUUGGGCGUAAAGCGAGCGCAGGCGGAAUGAUAAGUCUGAUGUGAAAGCCCACGGCUCAACCGUGGAACUGCAUCGGAAACUGUCAUUCUUGAGUGCAGAAGAGGAGAGUGGAAUUCCAUGUGUAGCGGUGGAAUGCGUAGAUAUAUGGAAGAACACCAGUGGCGAAGGCGGCUCUCUGGUCUGCAACUGACGCUGAGGCUCGAAAGCAUGGGUAGCGAACAGGAUUAGAUACCCUGGUAG